AACCUGGUUGAUCCUGCCAGUAGUCAUAUGCUUGUCUCAAAGAUUAAGCCAUGCAUGUCUAAGUAUAAACUGCUUUAUACUGUGAAACUGCGAAUGGCUCAUUAAAUCAGUUAUAGUUUAUUUGAUGGUACCUACUUACUCGGAUACCCGUAGUAAUUCUAGAGCUAAUACGUGCGUACAUCCCGACUUCUGGAAGGGACGUAUUUAUUAGAUAAAAGGCCGACCGGGCUUGCCCGACUCGCGGUGACUCAUGAUAACUUCACGAAUCGCAUGGCCUCGCGCCGGCGAUGUUUCAUUCAAAUUUCUGCCCUAUCAACUUUUGAUGGUAGGAUAGAGGCCUACCAUGGUGGUAACGGGUGACGGAGAAUUAGGGUUCGAUUCCGGAGAGGGAGCCUGAG
rnacentral:rRNA from 1 species